AGUAAUGACAGUCUCACCCUACCUUCAACCCAGAGGAGAUACAGUAAUGACAGUCUCACACUACCUUCAACCCAGAGAGGAGAAACAGUAAUGACAGUCUCACCCUACCUUCAACCCAGAGGAGAAACAGUAAUGACAGUCUCACCCUACUUUCAACCCAGAGGAGAAACAGUAAUGACAGUCUCACACUACCUUCAACCCAGAGAGGACAAACAGUAAUGACAUCAUCUAAGAGACAUUUAUUAGCAGGUAGAUGUAGCCUGGCAUGCAGGUAAAUAC
rnacentral:lncRNA from 13 species